rnacentral:rRNA from 9 species
UAUAGGUUUGGUCCUGGCCUUACUAUUAGUUUACAGUAAGAUUACACAUGCAAGUAACCGCAUCCCAGUGAGAAUGCCCUCCAAAUCCCCUGAUUAAAAGGAGCAGGUAUCAAGCACACCAAUAGGUAGCUCACCACACCUUGCUAAACCACACCCCCACGGGAUACAGCAGUGAUUGAACUUAAGCAAUAAACGAAAGUUUGACUAAGCUAUACUGACACUUAGGGUUGGUAAAUCUCGUGCCAGCCACCGCGGUCAUACGAUUAACCCAAACUAAUAUUUCCCGGCGUAAAGUGUGUUUAAGAUUUAUAUAAAUAAAGUUAAUUUUUAUCCAAGCCGUAAAACGCCCCAGCUAAAACAAAACUAACCUACGAAAGUGACUUUAAUACUCUGAAGACACGACAACUAAGAUCCAAACUGGGAUUAGAUACCCCACUAUGCUUAGCCGUAAACCUAAGUAAUUAACAAACAAAAUUACUCGCCAGAGCACUACAAGCAACAGCUUAAAACUCAAAGGACUUGGCGGUGCUUUAUAUCCCUCUAGAGGAGCCUGUUCUAUAAUCGAUAAACCCCGAUAAACCUCACCACUUCUUGCUAAUUCAACUUAUAUACCGCCAUCCCCAGCAAACCCUAUUAAGGCCCCAAAGUAAGCAAAAACACAUACAUAAAGACGUUAGGUCAAGGUGUAGUCAAUGAAGUGGAAAGAAAUGGGCUACAUUUUCUAAUAUUAGAACAACACCCCAACAGAAGCCUUUAUGAAACUAAAAGCCAAAGGAGGAUUUAGCAGUAAAUUAAGAAUAGAGAGCUUAAUUGAAUAGGGCCAUGAAGCACGCACACACCGCCCGUCACCCUCCUCAAUCACCAAUUAUUAAUUCACUAAUUCUACUAAACUCUAAACAAGAGGAGAUAAGUCGUAACAAGGUAAGCAUACUGGAAAGUGUGCUUGGAAUAUUC